rnacentral:rRNA from 1 species
UNAUGGGAUUAGAUNCCCCACUAUGCUCAANCCGUAAACCUUGGAAAAAUUUNACACAAUAUUAACUCGCCUGAAAACUACAAGCGUAAGCUCAAAACUCAAAGGGUCUGGCGGCACUUUAAACUAUCNUAGAGGAGCCUGUCCUAUAAUCGAUAACCCCCGUUAAACCUCACCUUCUUUAGCUAUUNAUCAGCCUGUAUACCGCCGUCGUCAGCUUACCCCCNNUAAAGGUCUUACAAGUAAGCNAAAACUGGUUUUACCCAAAACGUCAGGUCGAGGUGCAGCUCACAAGAAGGGAAGAGAUGGGCUACAUUUCCUGUNNGCAGGAAANCACGAAUAGUACGCUGAAAUAUGUACAUUGAAGGAGGAUUUAGCAGUAAGUAAAAAAUAGAGNAUUUUACUGAAAAAGNUCUUAGACGCGGGGCU